GAUGAACGCUGGCGGCGUGCCUAAUACAUGCAAGUCGAGCGAACAGACGAGGAGCUUGCUCCUCUGACGUUAGCGGCGGACGGGUGAGUAACACGUGGAUAACCUACCUAUAAGACUGGGAUAACUUCGGGAAACCGGAGCUAAUACCGGAUAAUAUAUUGAACCGCAUGGUUCAAUAGUGAAAGACGGUUUUGCUGUCACUUAUAGAUGGAUCCGCGCCGCAUUAGCUAGUUGGUAAGGUAACGGCUUACCAAGGCAACGAUGCGUAGCCGACCUGAGAGGGGGACCGGCCACACUGGACCUGGGCACCGGUCCAGCCCCCUACGGAGGGCAGCAGUAGGGAAUCUUCCGCAAUGGGCGAAAGCCUGACGGAGCAACGCCGCGUGAGUGAUGAAGGUCUUCGGAUCGUAAAACUCUGUAUUAGGGAAGAACAAAUGUGUAAGUAACUAUGCACGUCUUGACGGUACCUAAUCAGAAAGCCACGGCUAACUACGUG
rnacentral:rRNA from 1 species